rnacentral:rRNA from 1 species
CGGGGCUUAAAGUCUUGUAAUUGGAAUGAUGGGAAUUUAAACCUCUUCCAGAGUAUUAAUUGGAGGGCAAGUCUGGUGCCAGCAGCCGCGGUAAUUCCAGCUCCAAUAGCGUAUAUUAAAAUUGUUGCAGUUAAAAAGCUCGUAGUUGAAUUUCUGCUGCAUUGCUUGUGUCCCUCUGGGGUCUGUGCAUGUGGUUUUUUUCGGACGGAGUUUCUUUGUCUGAAUGUUUACUUUGAGAAAAUUAGAGUGCUCAAAGCAGGCUUUCGCCUUGAAUAGUUUAGCAUGGAAUAAUAAAGUAGGACUUUGGUUCUAUUUUGUUGGUUUUAGGUACCAAAGUAAUGGUUAAUAGGAACAGUUGGGGGCAUUCGUAUUUAACUGUCAGAGGUGAAAUUCUUAGAUUUGUUAAAGACGAACUACUGCGAAAGCAUUUGCCAAGGAUGUUUUCAUUAAUCAAGAAC